GAUUCUCUCAGCGUUGUCAGCGUGAAGAGUCGACGGGGUUUCCUUGCAAUUCUAAUGGUUAAAGGCGCUGCCCGUGCAAGGGCGGAUGACGUCAACAUCACCAUGGGUCCCGGGGGUGCUGUAGUCUACAAUACAUUAGACUCGUUAAAAAAAAGGGCGAAGAGUUGGCGUGACAAGCAGCAAACAGGGUGAAACAGAAAAUUACAGCGCACAAAACCUGUUAGUCCACAGCAAAGCCGACUGACCUCAGCGAUUACAAUACCACAGUCACAAGAUGAGCACAAGGCUUGUUCUUAUCAACUUACAGUGUAUGUUGGUACACAGAACGACCAUGACAUGUAUGAUUUGUCAACAGUUACAAACAAACGUAAUUCUGUCUGUAUCAUCACAUUCUCACUACUUCCUAGUUGGGUAUGAGCCCCCAAGUGUAUAUCCAUGUUUUAUUGAUUUAAAAUAUGUGCAGUGCACAAUGUCUGUGUUUUUCUUGUUUUGAUCAAGGUACGGUUUGAAGUAGGAAUCUCAAAACUGACAGUGAAUCAUGACCUCUCCCUCUCGGGUAGAAAGUGGUCUGCAAGUAGCCAUUUCACAGGUCUAUGAUUUCCAACUUUAUAUCAUCUGCCUGUGGAGGUUUGCUUGCAGUUCCUUAUAAAGAUACUUGUCAUGGAUGGUCACCAGCUGCAGAGCGCCUUGUUCUUCAGCCUCCAAAGACGUUGGCAAUCAUAAUGGCCCUACGAAGGAAACUAUGGCUACGAUGCGGCCCGUGACAAAAAUGAGUUUGACAUCCCUGCGGCCUACACCAUCAGCAAGUCCCAACUCCAUUUUGAGUGUGAAGAAACCUAACACUGCGCAAUGACGUCAGCCUGACUGUGCUGCUACCCACAGCCCCUCUAGAGGGCGCACUUGCUUAGCAUUUGCUGACUGCUAUGACGCUGUGAUGCAUUUUCCACACCUACACUGCUCAAUUAAUGUCUUUAUUUGGCAGUAUUCACCUGUGACAUCGUGAAUUGUAAUAGGUUAAAUUUUGGUGACCAAACACGUAUUUCAGUACAGUUGGUGUAUGUGAGAUUUCUGUGGAAAAGACUUUGAAUAGAGAGUUUUUUCUGAAGGAAUAUCUUAGAAAAUGAUUUUUUUGUUUUAUUUCUUUGCUAAGAUCAAUCUAGAUGCCCUUUAGCCUACAUUGAGUAUACUUAAAAACGUACAUUUUUGGUGUAAAUGAUUAGUUUUGGUUUUGUUUUGUCAUGGCUUUGCUGUUUCCCCGGCAACAAUGAUUUUAAUAAUUAUUAAAGAAUGUGAAAUGUGUUGGUAGAGACCAUCUUCGUGCCCUUCCCUUUCAUUAUUUUUUGCAACCAUUUAUCACUCCAAGUUAUGAUUAAGAUUGCUUGCCACUAUAUCUUUGCACCAAUUCUGCUAUUUAAUGUUGAAAAAUUUGUUUUGGACUUGAGUAGUCCAGAUAGGGUUUCUAUUUUUCACUGUUCCCAUUGUCAGUCAGUUUUUGUUUAAUUUUGUACAGCAUUCAUUUAUUUCUGUAGCCUUGUUUUCUUUUUUUGUGUUCAUUUCUCUUGUAGUUUCACCCCCUUAACCUGGUCACAAGACUUGACUUGUACUUGUUAUCACAAUAAAAGAAAUCAUAGUUUCCUGUCAG